UAUUACCGCGGCUGCUGGUGGGGAAAGUGGCAACACACCUAGGGAUGGGCCUGCGGCCUAUCAGGUAGUUGGUGGGGUAAGAGCCCACCAAGCCGAAGACCUGUAGCCGGGCUGAGUCGUUGAACGGUCACACCGGAACUGAGACACGCUCCGGGCUCCUACGGGAGGCAGCAGUGGGGAAUCUUGCGCAAUGGGGGAAACCCUGACGCAGCGACGCCGCGUGGAGGAUGAAGGUCUUCGGGUUGUAAACUCCUUUUCUUAGGGAAAAUGAU
rnacentral:rRNA from 1 species